UACGUAGGGGGCAAGCGUUGUCCGGAAUCAUUGGGCGUAAAGCGCGUGUAGGCGGCCAGAAAAGUCCGCUGUGAAAACUCGAGGCUCAACUUCGAGCUGUCGGUGGAAACUUUCUGGCUAGAGUCCGGAAGAGGAGAAUGGAAUUCCUGGUGUAGCGGUGAAAUGCGCAGAUAUCGGGAAGAACACCCGUGGCGAAGGCGGUUCUCUGGGACGGUACUGACGCUGAGACGCGAAAGCGUGGGGAGCGAACAGG
rnacentral:rRNA from 1 species